rnacentral:rRNA from 1 species
GUGGGGAAUAUUGGACAAUGGGCGAAAGCCUGAUCCAGCCAUGCCGCGUGUGUGAAGAAGGUCUUCGGAUUGUAAAGCACUUUAAGUUGGGAGGAAGGGUUGUACGUUAAUACCGUGCAAUUUUGACGUUACCGACAGAAUAAGCACCGGCUAACUUCGUGCCAGCAGCAGCGGUAAUAAGAAGGGUGCAAGCGUUAAUCGGAAUUACUGGGCGUAAAGCGCGCGUAGGUGGUUUUGUAAGUUGGAGGUGAAAUCCCCGGGCUCAACCUGGGAACUGCCUCCAAAACUGCAUGACUAGAGUACGGUAGAGGGUAGUGGAAUUUCCUGUGUAGCGGUGAAAUGCGUAGAUAUAGGAAGGAACACCAGUGGCGAAGGCGACUACCUGGACUGAUACUGACACUGAGGUGCGAAAGCGUGGGGAGCAAACAGGAUUAGAUACCCCAGUAGUCC